UCCCAUUCCGAACACAGAAGUUAAGCCUCUCAUCGCUGAUGGUACUGCAUGGGUGACCGUGUGGGAGAGUAGGUCGCUGCCGGGA
rnacentral:rRNA from 1 species